rnacentral:rRNA from 1 species
GACGAACGCUGGCGGCGUGCUUAACACAUGCAAGUCGAACGGAAAGGCCCUGCUUUUGUGGGGUGCUCGAGUGGCGAACGGGUGAGUAACACGUGAGUAACCUGCCCUUGACUUUGGGAUAACUUCAGGAAACUGGGGCUAAUACCGGAUAGGAGCUCCUGCUGCAUGGUGGGGGUUGGAAAGUUUCGGCGGUUGGGGAUGGACUCGCGGCUUAUCAGCUUGUUGGUGGGGUAGUUGCUUACCAAGGCUUUGACGGGUAGCCGGCCUGAGAGGGUGACCGGGAACAUUGGGACUGAGAUACGGCCCAGACUCCUACGGGAGGCAGCAGUGGGGAAUAUUGCACAAUGGGCGGAAGCCUGAUGCAGCAACGCCGCGUGCGGGAUGACGGCCUUCGGGUUGUAAACCGCUUUCGCCUGUGACGAAGCGUGAGUGACGGUAAUGGGUAAAGAAGCACCGGCUAACUACGUG